rfam:Alligator sinensis unplaced genomic scaffold scaffold23_1, whole genome shotgun sequence
GACCACAUGGCCUGAUAGGUAAGGCAUCUGACUUUGGAUCAGGAGAUUGAGGGUUCAAGUCCCUCUGUGGUUG